AUCCUUCGGUUCAUGACUGUGAUGAUUGGGUGUUCAUGCCUUAUACAUGAGAUGUGCCUCCCUCAAACCUUGUUACAACAUGGGCACAUGACCCAUCUGAUG